rnacentral:rRNA from 1 species
CACGUAGGGGGCGAGCGUUGUCCGGAUUUAUUGGGCGUAAAGAGCUCGUAGGCGGCUAAGUAAGUCGGGUGUGAAAACUCCAGGCUCAACCUGGAGACGCCACCUGAUACUGCUUUGGCUAGAGUCCGGUAGGGGAGCAUGGAAUUCCUGGUGUAGCGGUGAAAUGCGCAGAUAUCGGGAGGAACACCAAUUGCGAAGGCAGCUCGCUGGGACGUCACUGACGCUGAGACGCGAAAGCGUGGGGAGCAAACAGG